CCCGACUGCUAUUUGGGUGAGGAUAAGCCAUGCGAGUCGAAUGGGAUACCUAAAUUUCCCAUGGCGAACUGCUCAGUAACACAUGAUCAACUUAACCUAUUGAGAAAGAUAAUCUCGGGAAACUGAGGAUAAUAUUUCAUAGUUGAAUUGGCUUGGAAAAGUUUUUCAAUAAAAGGGAUAGGGAAAAUGGUCUCUAUCCGCUAUAGGAUAGGAUCGUGUUCGAUUAUGGUAGUUGGUGAGGUAACGGCUCACCAAGCCGAUAAUCGAUAGGGGCCGUGAGAGCGGGAGCCCCGAGAUGGGUACUGAGACAACGACCCAGGCCUUACGAGGCGCAGCAGGUACGAAACCUCCACAAUACACGAAAGUGUGAUGGGGUUACCCAAAGUGUUCAUUAUUGAACUGUGGUAGGAGAGUAAUGUCCCCUACUAGAAAGGAGAGGGCAAGGCUGGUGCCAGCCGCCGCGGUAAAACCAGCUCUUCAAGUGGUCGGGAUAAUUAUUGGGCUUAAAGUGUCCGUAGCCGGUUUAGUAAGUUCCUGGUAAAAUCGGGUAGCUUAACUAUCUGCAUGCUAGGAAUACUGCUAUACUAGAGGGCGGGAGAGGUCUGAGGUACUACAGGGGUAGGGGUGAAAUCUUAUAAUCCUUGUCGGACCACCAGUGGCGAAGGCGUCAGACUGGAACGCGCCUGACGGUGAGGGACGAAAGCCAGGGGAGCGAACCGGAUUAGAUACCCGGGUAGUCCUGGCCGUAAACGAUGCAUACUAGGUGAUGGUACGGCCAUGAGCCGUAUCAGUGCCGUAGGGAAACCGUUAAGUGUGCCGCCUGGGAAGUACGGUCGCAAGGCUAAAAC
rnacentral:rRNA from 1 species